AGCGAACGCUGGCGGCAGGCCUAACACAUGCAAGUCGAACGCGUGUAGCAAUACACGAGUGGCAGACGGGUGAGUAACACGUGGGAACGUACCUUUCGGUUCGGAAUAACUCAGGGAAACUUGUGCUAAUACCGGAUACGCCUUUACGGGGAAAGAUUCAUCGCCGAAAGAUCGGCCCGCGUCUGAUUAGCUUGUUGGUGAGGUAACGGCUCACCAAGGCGACGAUCAGUAGCNGGUCUGAGAGGAUGAUCAGCCACAUUGGGACUGAGACACGGCCCAAACUCCUACGGGAGGCAGCAGUGGGGAAUAUUGGACAAUGGGCGAAAGCCUGAUCCAGCCAUGCCGCGUGAGUGAUGAAGGCCCUAGGGUUGUAAAGCUCUUUCGGCGGGGGACGAUAAUGACGGUACCCGCAGAAGAAGCCCCGGCUAACUUCGUGCCAGCCGCCGCCGUAAU
rnacentral:rRNA from 1 species